AACAGGAUUAGAUACCCUGGUAGUCCACGCCGUAAGCGAUGUCGACUUGGAGGUUGUUCCCUUGAGGAGUGGCUUCCGGAGCUAACGCGUUAAGUCGACCGCCUGGGGAGUACGGCCGCAAGGUUAAAACUCAAAUGAAUUGACGGGGGCCCGCACAAGCGGUGGAGCAUGUAGUUUAAUUCGAUGCAACGCGAAGAACCUUACCUACUCUUGACAUCCAGAGAACUUUCCAGAGAUGGAUUGGUGCCUUCGGGAACUCUGAGACAGGUGCUGCAUGGCUGUCGUCAGCUCGUGUUGUGAAAUGUUGGGUUAAGUCCCGCAACGAGCGCAACCCUUAUCCUUUGUUGCCAGCGGUUCGGCCGGGAACUCAAAGGAGACUGCCAGUGAUAAACUGGAGGAAGGUGGGGUUGACGUCAAGUCAUCAUGGCCCUUACGAGUAGGGCUACACACGUGCUACAAUGGCGCAUACAGAGAGAAGCGACCUCGCGAGAGCAAGCGGACCUCAUAAAGUGCGUCGUAGUCCGGAUUGGAGUCUGCAACUCGACUCCAUGAAGUCGGAAUCGCUAGUAAUCGUAGAUCAGAAUGCUACGGUGAAUACGUUCCCGGGCCUUGUACACACCGCCCGUCACACCAUGGGAGUGGGUUGCAAAAGAAGUAGGUAGCUUAACCUUCGGGAGGGCGCUUACCACUUUGUGAUUCAUGACUGGGGUGAAGUCGUAACAAGGUAACC
rnacentral:rRNA from 1 species